GGACACAGUUGUCUGAAGAGGCAGGGCGCUUUCGAUUUCUUUAGUUUCUUUGGCUGCUGCAGUCCUUUCAGCGACCGCCUUGGACAUUCCGAACAUCUUCUGGAUGGUUUUCUUAAAGCAGGUGGUGUGUUCGUCCAUAGAAGCAUGGAUGAACUCGUCGAUGUGAUCCUUUACAUCUUCAAUGAAAGUAGCAGAUUCUGAUUUCUUCUUACGGCACGAGGAUA
rnacentral:misc_RNA from 1 species